GCAAGGCAACUCAAACUUGAAGACAUGGAGUCCCCAAGGAGAACCACUUUGUGCUUUGUGAUUAUUGCGAUUUAUUCUUCCCAAGCUACACUGAGUUUGAAUUUAGAGUCUAUUGUUUAUCAUUCGCUUCUCCAUGAACAUGAGCUAAUGGAGGAGGACCCAGUAAGACCAAAACGAGCUGUUGCCGUAAGCAGCCAUGCAGCUCAAGAGUUCACCGUCGAUGUUGAGAUCAGUUUUGAAAAUGCCUCCUUCCUGGAGCCUAUUAAAGCUUACUUGAACAACCUCAGUUUUCCAAUUCAAGGGAAUGACACUGACCUAGCUACCGAUAUUUUGAGCAUCGAGGUGUCAACAGUCUGUAGACCUAACGGAAAUGAAAUCUGGUGCUCCUGUGAGACAGGCUAUGAGUGGCCUCAGGAAAGUUGCCUCCACAAUCUCACUUGCCAGGGACAUGAUGGUUCCUCUGCAGGGCAUCACUGCCAUUGCCUUAAGGGACUGCCUCCCAAGGGACCUUUCUGCCAGCUCCAGGGAGAUGUUAUCCUGAGAAUGUCGGUCAGACUCAAUGUGGGCUUUCAAGAAGAUCUUAGGAACUCUUCCUCUGCCCUGUAUAAGUCCUACACGACUGACCUGGAAACAGCGUUCUGGAAGGGUUACAGUAUUUUACCAGGCUUCAAAUUGGUGACAGUGACAGGAUUCAGGCCUGGAAGUGUGGUUGUGACGUACGAAAUCACCACAACAACAACAACAUCACCUGCGUUAAUGCAUAAAGCGAACGAGAAAGUCACACAGAACCUCAAUCAGACCUACAAGGUGGACAGCAGUUCCUUUCAGGUUACUUACAGCAAUGAAACGAAAUUCUCCAUCACACCAGAAAUCAUCUUUGAAGGAGAUACAGUAACCCUGACGUGUGAGAAUGAAGUGUUUUCCACCAAUGUGUCCUGGAUGCACGUGGAAACGGGCCUCGACAUCCAGAACAGCACUGAAGUCUCCAUCUACACCUCCAUGCUCAACAACAUGACCUCCGUGUCGCGCCUUAUUAUCCACAACAUCACUCGGGUUUACAUGGGUGAAUACAUUUGCAAACUGACAUUAGAUAUUUUUGAAUAUGCAUCCAGAAGAAAAUUGGAAGUUAUACCCAUCCAGAUACUGGCAAGUGAAGCUGUGGAGGUGAUGUGUGACAACAAUCCUGUGUCUUUGAACUGCUGCAGUGAGGUGAAUGUGAAUUGGAGUCAAAUUGAAUGGAAGCAGGAAGGGAGUAUAAGCAUUCCAGGAAAUGCUGAAAUAGACACAGACAGUGGCUGCAGCAGAUACACCCUCAUGGCCAAUGAGACUCAGUGUCCGAGCGGGUCGUCUGGAACGACAGUGGUCUACACGUGUGAGUUCAUCAGUGCCCACGGAGCCAGAGGCAGAAAGGACAUAGAAGUGACAUUCAUCUCUGUAGGAGAUAAUUCCAGCCACAAAGGGGAAGUGCGCGAAUCCCAAAGGCUUGUGAUGGAAAUGAGUACAGUUCAGAGCACCACCAAGAACAGCCUAGAAACAAGUAAAGCCCCGGAGCAGCAAGCCAAGCUAAACAUAACCCCGGACCUAAUUUCUGUUUCUGAGGGACAAAGCUUUUUUAUAAAGUGCAUCAGCGAUAUGAGUAACUAUGAUGAGAUGUACUGGAACACUUCUGCUGGAGCUAAAAUAUACAAAAGGUUUUAUACCACGAGGAGGUAUUCGGACAGAGCAGAGUCGGUGCUGACAGUGAAGACCUCAACCAGGGAGUGGAAUGGAACCUAUCACUGCGUAUUUCGAUACAAGACUUUGUACAGGGUCAUGGCCAAAGAUGUCAUCGUGUACCCGCUGCCUCUAGAGUCCAACAUCAUGGUUGAUCCUGUGGAAGCUGCAAUUCCAUGCCGAAGCUCCCGUCACAUCAGAUGCUGCGUUGAGGAAGAUUCAGACUACAAGGUCAUUUUUCAAGUGGGUUCCUCGUCUUUUCCUGCUGUAAAAGAGGUUGAUGAAAAGCAAGUGUGCUACAAACACCAUUUCACGGCAGACUCAGUUUCCUGUCCAGAAAACGUGGAUGUGUUUUGCCACUUUACCAAUGCCGCUAAUAAUUCAGUCCAGAGCCCGUCUAUGAAGCUUAACCUGGUUCCUGGGGAGAGCAUCACUUGCCAGGAUCCUAUCCUAGGUGUUGGGGAGCCUGGGAAAGUCAUCCAGAAGCUUUGCCAGUUCUUGAACAUUACCAGAAGCCGUGAGAGUCCUGUUGGAGGGAUCAUAACUUAUAGAUGCGUGGGUUCCCAGUGGCAGAUCGAGAAAAAUGACUGCAUCUCUGCUCCAAUAAAUGCUCUGCUCCAGCUGGCCAAGGCUUUGGUUAAGAGCCCUACGCAGGAUGAGAAGCUCCCGUCCUACCUAGGGAAUCUUUCCAUUAGCACAAAGCAAGCGAAACUUGAAGUCGACUCAUUUUCUGGGACCCUGGGAGCUAUUAUUAACAUUCUGGACCUGUUCUCAACAGUUCCAACCCAAGUGAAUUCAGAAAUGAUGACGCACGUCCUCUCCACGGUCGAUAUCAUCCUUGGCAAGUCUGCCUUGAAUACCUGGAAGAUGUCACAGCAACAAAAAACCAAUUAUAGCUCGCAGCUAUUGGAUUCAGUGGAAAGAUUUUCCCGAGUUUUAAGGGCAGAAGACAGCACCAUCUCCCAACCUAACGUGCAGAUGAAGAGCAUGGUCAUAAAACCUGGCCACCCCCAAUCGUACAGGCAGAGCUUUGUCUUCUUAGACUCUGACCUCUGGGGCAACGUGACCAUCAGUGGAUGCCAGCUGGAGCACCUGCAGCCAGAUUCGUUUGUCGUCACCGUGGCUUUCCCAACUCUCAAAACCAUCCUCGACCGGGAUGUUCUGGGAGAGAAUUUUGCCAACAGCCUGGUGAUGACCACCACCGUCAGCCGCAGAAUAACCACACCAUUCAGGAUUCUGAUGACUUUCAAAAACAGCCACCCUUCGGGCGGGAUACCGCAGUGUGUCUUCUGGAACUUCAACCUAGCCAACCACACCGGGGGGUGGGACAGUGUGUCCUGCAGCUGUGAACACCUCACCUCCUUCUCCAUCCUCAUGUCCCCCGACUCCCCAGACCCCGACUCGCUCCUGAAAAUCCUGCUGGAUAUCAUUUCCUACAUCGGGCUGUGCUUUUCCAUCUUGAGCUUAGCGGCCUGCCUCGUCGUGGAGGCCGUGGUGUGGAAAUCGGUGACCAAGAACCGGACCUCCUCCAUGCGGCACACCUGCAUCGUCAACAUCACCGCUUCCCUGCUGGUGGCCGACGUCUGGUUCAUCGUGGCCGCCGCCAUCCACGACCAUCGCUUCCCGCUCAACGAGACGGCCUGUGUGGCCGCCACCUUCUUCAUCCACUUCUUCUACCUCAGCGUCUUCUUCUGGAUGCUGACCCUGGGCCUCAUGCUCUUCUACCGCCUGGUUUUCAUCCUGCACGACACAAGCAAGUCCAUUCAGAAGACGAUCGCCUUUUCCCUGGGGUAUGGCUGCCCUCUGGUCAUCUCAGUCAUCACGGUGGGGGCCACCCAGCCCCGGGAGGUCUACAUGAGGAAGAAUGCCUGCUGGCUCAACUGGGAGGACACCAAGGCCCUGCUGGCCUUCGUCAUCCCGGCCCUGAUCAUCGUGGUGGUGAACAUGACCAUCACGGUUGUGGUCAUCACCAAGAUCCUGAGGCCUUCCAUCGGGGACAAGCCGAGCAAGCAGGAGAAGAGCAGCCUGUUCCAGGUCACCAAGAGCAUUGGGGUCCUCACGCCGCUCCUGGGGCUCACCUGGGGUUUCGGUCUGGCCACCGUGUUCCAGGGGAGCAACGCCGUGUUCCACAUUGUGUUUACGCUCCUCAAUGCCUUCCAGGGAUUAUUCAUUUUACUCUUUGGAUGCCUCUGGGAUCAGAAGGUGCAGGAAGCCUUGCUGAAUAAGUAUUCACGGUCAAAAUGGUCUUCACAGCACUCAAAGUCAACAUCCAUAGGUUCAUCUACACCUGUAUUUUCUAUGAGUUCUCCAAUAUCAAGAAGAUUUAACAAUUUGUUUGGUAAAACAGGAACAUACAAUGUUUCCACCCCCGAAACAACCAGUUCAUCCCUGGAAAACACGUCCAGUGCUUAUUCAUUGCUCAACUAAGGACAGGAAAAUCCAGCCCAUGGGACCUCUUGGGAAACAGUGGAUGUGCUCUGCAAAAGAGAUCCUUUCCAAGCCGUGGAUAACAUGUUUUUUCUACAGGCCUCUGGGAGCAGAUGCUUAAGAGACUUUUUCAUGAAGGAAGAGGCUUUCUUUUGUAAAGACAGACCAAAGGAAAUUGUUGCAUUUAUGUUGCUGCCCCACCCCUGUCUCCUGUGUGAUACCAAAUGUGUAUAGUAUUUAAUUGAAACUCAUGCCAACUUCUCUGUCUAUAUUGUAAAGUAGAAUUUCAGAGACAUUUUUCCUUUUCACACCCUGGGCCCAAAGAUAAGCUUUGAUUAAAAUAAUAAGUAAAAG
rnacentral:lncRNA from 1 species